ACCCUGAACAGCUCAGUUGAUAGAGCAUAGGACUUUUAAUUUCAGGGUUGUGGGUUUGAGCCACACGCUGGGUG